GGGCUUUUUGUUUAAUCCCGUGAGCAAGCCCGAGAGAAAGCGAGACCAGAUGCACGACUUGGUUCAUCUUCUUCUUGCACACUAAAUCCACAAAUCUUCUCCUUUGUUAUCUGAUACAGCUAUGGAGUUUCGAGAUUUUCAAUCCACUUGAAGGAUCGGUUUGUAAAAUCUUCGAUCCCGGCGUUUUUUCUUCUCAUCUGAUCAACGAAAACGUUUUGCCUAAUUGAUUCAUCCUCUUUAUCAUACUCCUUAACUCCAUCACCUCUCUUCAAGCACGAUCUGUUAUUGAAUACACUUUAUUACUCUGCAAGGCGGUGUCUCUACUCCUAUAAAAGAUUUGAAGUCAGGCCAAUGUUCUUCCACCUUGGAGGGGAGAUUGCUUAGAUUCUGGGUUUUAAGUUCAUAUAUAGAUGUUCAUGGUGAUAAUCAGCCUCACCCCCUUAGAUACAUAGCUUCACAGAUAUUGGUGAUGCCCUCAAGCUCCACCACUUCGUUCUUUCUAAGAACAUUAACAUAUUCUCAACGAACAGGGUUUGGUUGCUGACGACGACAACAAGAAAAAGUCGGAAGCAACAUAGAUUUUGGUUAAGCGAUUGGGUCAGUUGGAAGCAAACAAGAAACUAUUCAUUACAAGAAAACACCGGUAUUCCGACGACAAAUAUCGUCGGUAUCGACAAAUAUUCCGAGGACAUACCGACGAUAUUUGUCGUCGGAAACUAAAAUUUCCUCGGAAUUUCCUCAGAAAAUUCCGAGGGAAUACCCAGAAUCAAAGAUUCCGAGGACAUUCCGAAGAAAUAUUUCAUAGGACUUUUCGUUGGUAUCUCCUCGGAUAUUUCCGAUGGAACGGUCCUCGGAAACAUUCCGAGAGAAAAGAGGUAUCGGAAUAUUCCGACGAACUUUGGCCGUCAGAAUAUUCCGAGAAACCUUUGUCGUCGGAAUAUUCCGAGGAAGUGUAUCCGUCGGGAUAUUCCGAGAAACCAUUGCCGUCGGAAUAUUCCGAGGAAGUGUAUCCGUCAGAAUAUCCCGAGGGAUACACUUCCUCGGAAUAUUCCCAAAAAUAUUUUUUUUUUAAUUAAAAAUUUAUUUUUUUUAAUCGAAAUUCGAAAAUAUAAAAUUAAAAUUGAAAUAGAAAACAUAUUAGAUAAUAUUCAAAGUUGUACGUACCAAAAUAAAACAUUCAGAGUUUUUGAAAAAAAAAAGAAAGAAACUAGGGGAACUGCUCGGUCGGGUACAUCCUCCUCAUCAUCUCCAUCAUUUGCUCGUUCUGCCUCUUCGUUGCCUCCCAUCCCGCCUCUUGAUCCCCCAUCUUUUGCUCCAACACAGCUAUGCGGUCAUCUUUGUCCUUCAACUGGUCCAGCACUUCUGGAUCAACAUAGGUCUGUGGUGCAAAAGGAGGAACCGACCGGGCUCGACGACCCAAACCGACCAAACGUCCCUUCUUCUUUGGAACCGAUUGAAAUAAAAAAUAAACAAAUUUAAAUAAUAGAAAAGAUGAUAAAAUGAAAAUAAAGAAAUAAAUGAAUUGAACUUUUUUAUAAAGAACAUACCGAUUCAACGAUUUCGUUGAUUCGAAUCCGGGACAAGUUGGUCGAAGCCGUCGAAGUGGCGUCCAGGUCGGUUUGAAGCUGAGAUAGACGGGUCUCUUCGUUUUCCUUCUGAGUUUCGAUCAGGCUGAGCACAUCCCUCACAACACCAUCAUCAAUCUCCCCGGUGUGUUUGUUGGUAUGUGCCGUCUUCAUUAGGACGAAAUCAUCAACCGGCUCGCCAUCAUUUUGAUCCGCCUUGAAAAAAACAAAAGUUAAACAAACAUUAGAAAUUAGAAGAAAUGCAUAAAAAUUAAAAUAAAAAUACUUAAAAAAAUUAAAAAAAAAGAUUGAACUUACCAAGCGAUCCCCCUGAGUGGCAAUAGUCUGGGCACCCAAAUUGUGCUUGUACAUGCCCUUCCCGCCACGAUCGCUCUUGCGGUUGGCGGAGUUGGUCACGGAGGAAGCUUUCGUCUCGUCCUUAUCCCAAUGCACACACAACUCCUCCCAGACCGUGCUGUUGAUCGACUUCGGAACCUUUUAAUAAAAAAAAUAUAAAAUAAUUUAAUAAAUCCAAAAAUAGUUUAAUAAAUUCAAAAAAUUGUUUAAUAAAUUAAAAAAAACCUGGUUGAUGAGCCACUUCUGCUUCCACUCGUAGAUCUGCUUCUCAUAGUUGUCCAUAACUUUAUGGACGAAGGCGUCACGGAUAAAGUUCGUGUGAUCGGGAUUCCAGGUGAACUCUUGCUGAAAAAAAAAACACAAUUUGUAGAAAUUUUAUAUUAAAGAUUAAAAAUAUAAGUUAAAAAAUUAGAAUACUUACCGCAAACUGACGAAACCACAUCUUCUGGUCCUCGGCAGGGAAGUGAGAGAAAGUCGGAUAUCCCUUGCUGAGGUUCGAGUACAUCAUAUUGUUGAUCCAUGCGUUGAUCCCGUUCCCGGAUCGGUUGAACCUAAUAUAAGAAACAAAUUAUUAAUAAUGAAUCAAAUUUUAAUGAAAGGAAAAAAAAAGACUUUUAAUUACCAUGUUUGACGUCGUCCCUUUGGACACGGAGUGAGAUAGGGAAGAUGCUCACGACCGGGCUGUUGAACCAACUGGGCAACAGUCAUCACUCCCGGAACAACUGGAGGAGCGGGAGGGGGUGCAGCAACGGGAGGGGGUGCAGCAGCGGGAGCAAAAACCGGAGCGGGAAAUGAAGAAUCCCGACAGUGGCUGCUCGACCCCCGAGAGUGGCUGGACGAACCCUGAGAGUGGCUCCCCGUACCACUACGACCUCGUGGUGAGGCAGGACGAGAUCGAGACCGGGUCUGAUCACCAGUAGACCUGUAAAUUAAA